GCUGGCAUGGUCUAAUGGUUAUGAUUUCUCGUUAACAUUCAUGUUAAUAACACCCGAGAAGGUUCCGCGUUCGAUCCGCGGUGCUAGUA